rnacentral:tRNA from 1 species
GCCUUCGUGGUGUAAUGGUGUCAGCACGCUCGACGCGCAACCGAGAGGUCCUUGGUUCGAUUCCCGGCGAAGGUG